GGGGGCGAACGGUUUCGACGGGUGUGAGAUCCCCCAGGAAGCGAGCCGAGGUCUCCACCACCUCGUAAAAAAGGUGGAACCAAAAAGAAGUGCCAACUACGAAAUGGCUCUCGCUGCCUAAUAGAGAAUAGGCAGCCGUCCCCCGCGAGGUCUGACCGGUGCCCGCGGAAGGGGCGUGAGACAGCCGGUCGACCGCUGAAAGGUUCGCCCCGACUUUCAGCGGUUUAAGAGGGGCUGUGGCUUGCAAGGGCCUGCCUGUGGGCUCUUGAUGGCCGAGAACUAAACACAGGCUGCGCUCGGAGAAGCCUGGGGGUGCUCACAUUCGGACGGGGGUUCGAUUCCCCCCGCCUCCACCA
rnacentral:tmRNA from 1 species